UAGAUACCCUGGUAGUCCAUGCCGUAAACGGUGGGCGCUAGGUGUAGGGGGCUUCCACGUCUUCUGUGCCGUAGCUAACGCAUUAAGCGCCCCGCCUGGGGAGUACGGCCGCAAGGCUAAAACUCAAAGGAAUUGACGGGGGCCCGCACAAGCGGCGGAGCAUGUGGAUUAAUUCGAUGCAACGCGAAGAACCUUACCUGGGCUUGACAUACACUAGAUUGCUGCAGAGAUGUAGUGUCCCUUGUGGCUG
rnacentral:rRNA from 1 species